GAUCGAUGACAACAAUGUUGAUGUAUAUCUUUUCCUUGCCCAUUUUACGUUAGAAUGAGUGCGUUUGAGUUCUGCCGCAAACCCCUCUUUGAUUGACUCGGAGACUAAAGGAAGGUUUGCGGCUGUAUCCAAAUGCACUCAUUUGAACAUUAAAAAAUGGGCUAGGAAAAGAUACACAUCAACAUUGUUGUCAUCGUUCAUGUUGAUUCUGGAGAUGGG